rnacentral:rRNA from 1 species
UACGUAGGGUCCGAGCGUUGUCCGGAAUUACUGGGCGUAAAGAGCUCGUAGGUGGUUUGUCGCGUUGUUCGUGAAAACUCACAGCUCAACUGUGGGCGUGCGGGCGAUACGAGCAGACUGGAGUACUGCAGGGGAGACUGGAAUUCCUGGUGUAGCGGUGGAAUGCGCAGAUAUCAGGAGGAACACCGGUGGCGAAGGCGGGUCUCUGGGCAGUAACUGACGCUGAGGAGCGAAAGCGUGGGGAGCGAACAGG